rnacentral:rRNA from 1 species
CCGCACGAGCGCACNCCUACCAUUAGUUGCCAGGCAUUUCGGAUGGGGACUCAUAAUGGAACUGCCGGCGCAAGCCGCGAGGAAGGUGGGGACGACGUCAAGUCAUCACGGCCCUUACGUCCUGGGCUACACACGUGCUACAAUGGUGCAUACAGAGGGCAGCUACCUGGUGACAGGAUGCGAAUCUCUAAAGUGCAUCUCAGUUCGGAUCGAAGUCUGCAACUCGACUUCGUGAAGCUGGAAUCGCUAGUAAUCGGGUAUCAGCCAUGAUCCGGUGAAUACGUUCCUGGGCCUUGUACACACCGCCCGUCAAACCAUGGAAGCUGGGGGUGCCUGAAGUUCGUGACCGUAAGGAGCGACCUAGGGUAAAACUAGUAACUGGGGUUAAGUCGUAACAAGGUAGCCGUAUCGGAAGGUGCGGCUGGAACACNNCCUUU